GAUGAACGCUGGCGGCGUGCCUAAUACAUGCAAGUCGAGCGAACAGACGAGGAGCUUGCUCCUCUGACGUUAGCGGCGGACGGGUGAGUAACACGUGGAUAACCUACCUAUAAGACUGGGAUAACUUCGGGAAACCGGAGCUAAUACCGGAUAAUAUAUUGAACCGCAUGGUUCAAUAGUGAAAGACGGUUUUGCUGUCACUUAUAGAUGGAUCCGCGCCGCAUUAGCUAGUUGGUAAGGUAACGGCUUACCAAGGCAACGAUGCGUAGCCGACCUGAGAGGGUGAUCGGCCACACUGGAACUGAGACACGGUCCAGACUCCUACGGGAGGCAGCAGUAGGGAAUCUUCCGCAAUGGGCGAAAGCCUGACGCAGCAACGCCGCGUGAGUGAUGAAGGUCUUCGGAUCGUAAAACUCUGUUAUUAGGGAAGAACAAAUGUGUAAGUAACUAUGCACGUCUUGACGGUACCUAAUCAGAAAGCCACGGCUAACUACGUG
rnacentral:rRNA from 1 species